ACUCGAAGGACAUGAGUUUGAGUAGGUUCCGGGAGUUGGUGAUGGACAGGGAGGCCUGGAGUGCUGCAGUCCAUGGGGUCCCAAAGAGUCAGACAUGACUGAGCAACUGAACUGAGCUGAAGAAAAGAUGCCAGGGAGCUCACGUGCUCUCUCUCUUUUCCCACUACAUAUGUGGACAUAGUGAGAAGGCAGUUGUCUACAAGCCAGAAGGGAGCUCUCACCAGAAACUAACCAUGUUGGCACCUCUGCCUUGGAUUUCCCGGCAUUCAGAAUGGUCAUUAAAAAUUAAAUAGAAGGAGAUCAAGAUGGCAGAGUAGGAGGAACCAGAGCUCACCUUCCCCCCACAAACACUUCAAAAAUACAUCUACAUGUGGAGCAAAUCUCACUGAAAACCAAUGGGAGACUGGCAGAAAGACCCUUCUACAACCAAGACUGUGAGAAUGAUCCACAUGGAGUGGAAUAGGAAGCUUCUGAUGCCCGGCCACUAUGCUCAUCUUCAAGGCUCUCAUCUCCUUUGCAAAAUUUCCUGAAGCACCAUUGCACUGUAUGUUGGUUAGCAGUUCCUGGGCCAAAAGUGUUGUUGAUAAUGUGAGUUGUCUCUGCUGCUUUACCACCCAUUUUGAAAUUGAAUAAAAAAAUCUCUUGAGUUU